rnacentral:lncRNA from 1 species
UGGUAUUACAAUCAAAUCUACUGGAAUCUCUCUUUACUAUGAGAUGACUGAGGAGUCACUUAAAAACUACAAGGGUGAAAGAAGUGGAAAUGAAUAUCUCAUUAACCUCAUUGAUUCGCCUGGGCAUGUUGACUUCUCUUCUGAGGUUACAGCAGCACUUCGAAUUACUGAUGGUGCAUUAGUCGUUGUCGACUGUAUUGAGGGUGUUUGUGUGCAGACUGAAACUGUUCUUAGACAAGCUUUGGGAGAAAGAAUUAGACCUGUAUUGACUGUCAAUAAGAUGGAUAGAUGUUUUCUAGAGCUUCAGGUUGAUGGUGAGGAAGCGUACCAGACAUUCCAACGUGUCAUUGAGAAUGCAAAUGUUAUCAUGGCUACCUAUGAAGAUCCUCUUCUUGGCGAUGUCCAAGUAUAUCCAGAGAAGGGGACUGUUGCAUUCUCUGCAGGGUUGCAUGGUUGGGCUUUUACGCUUACCAACUUUGCCAAAAUGUAUGCUGCCAAAUUUGGAGUUGAUGAAUCUAAGAUGAUGGAGAGACUUUGGGGUGAGAAUUACUUUGACCCAGCCACUAAGAAGUGGACCAGCAAGAACACUGGAUCUGGUACCUGCAAACGAGGCUUUGUUCAAUUUUGUUAUGAACCUAUUAGACAGAUUAUUUCUACUUGCAUUAAUGAUCAGAAAGACAAAUUAUGGCCGAUGCUGCAGAAGCUUGGUGUGACCAUGAAAUCUGAAGAGAAAGAACUGGUCGGUAAAGCUUUAAUGAAGCGGGUCAUGCAGACUUGGCUCCCGGCGAGCACUGCCCUUCUUGAGAUGAUGAUCUUCCACCUUCCGUCUCCUGCCAAGGCACAGAAAUACCGUGUGGAGAACUUAUACGAGGGCCCUCUUGAUGAUAUAUAUGCCAAUGCCAUCAGAAACUGUGAUCCUGAAGGCCCUCUUAUGUUAUAUGUGUCAAAAAUGAUUCCUGCUUCAGAUAAGGGCAGGUUCUUUGCAUUCGGCCGAGUGUUCUCUGGCAGGGUUGCUACAGGCAUGAAGGUGCGAAUCAUGGGGCCAAACUAUGUGCCAGGUCAGAAGAAAGACUUGUACGUGAAGAGCGUCCAAAGAACAGUCAUCUGGAUGGGUAAGAGACAGGAGUCUGUGGAGGAUGUGCCUUGUGGAAACACAGUUGCUAUGGUUGGUUUAGAUCAAUACAUCACCAAGAAUGCCACUCUUACAAAUGAGAAGGAAGUCGAUGCACAUCCAAUCAGAGCAAUGAAAUUCUCUGUAUCUCCUGUUGUACGUGUUGCGGUGCAAUGCAAGGUCGCCUCGGACCUGCCCAAACUUGUUGAAGGCUUAAAGCGCCUGGCCAAAUCAGAUCCCAUGGUGGUGUGUACAAUGGAGGAGUCGGGUGAGCACAUCGUUGCUGGAGCUGGGGAGCUCCACCUUGAGAUCUGCUUGAAGGACUUGCAAGAGGAUUUCAUGGGAGGUGCAGAAAUUGUGGUAUCUGACCCAGUUGUUUCUUUCCGAGAAACAGUGCUUGAGAAGUCCUGCCGGACAGUGAUGAGCAAGUCACCUAACAAGCACAACCGUCUGUAUAUGGAAGCCCGACCCAUGGAAGAGGGGCUUGCCGAGGCAAUUGAUGAAGGGCGUAUUGGUCCAAGAGAUGAUCCUAAAGUGCGUUCUAAGAUCCUAUCAGAGGAGUUUGGUUGGGAUAAAGAUCUUGCUAAGAAAAUUUGGUGCUUUGGUCCUGAGACAACUGGUCCUAACAUGGUUGUUGAUAUGUGUAAGGGAGUUCAGUACCUGAAUGAAAUCAAGGACUCUGUUGUGGCUGGUUUCCAGUGGGCAUCAAAGGAAGGAGCAGUGGCUGAGGAGAACAUGCGUGCAAUAUGCUUCGAGGUAUGUGAUGUUGUUCUGCAUGCUGAUGCGAUCCAUAGAGGUGGUGGUCAGAUCAUCCCAACUGCAAGAAGGGUCAUCUAUGCAUCCCAAUUAACAGCCAAACCGAGGCUUUUGGAGCCUGUUUAUUUGGUAGAGAUCCAGGCCCCUGAGCAGGCACUUGGUGGUAUCUA